rnacentral:rRNA from 1 species
AACGAACGCUGGCGGCGUGGAUAAGACAUGCAAGUCGAACGGGACAGGUAGCAAUAUCUGUCUAGUGGCGAACGGGUGCGUAACACGUGGGCAACAUGCCUGGAAGAGCGGGAUAGCCCGGGGAAACUCGGAUUAAUACCGCAUGUGACAACGGGGCGGCUUCGCCCUGUUUUCAAAGGUGGGGACCGCAAGGCCUGCCGCUUCCAGAUUGGCCCGCGUCCUAUCAGCUAGUUGGCGGGGUAAAAGCCCACCAAGGCGACGACGGGUAGCUGGUCUGAGAGGACGACCAGCCACACUGGAACUGAGACACGGACAAGACACCUACGGGUGGCAGCAGUCGAGAAUCUUUCACAAUGGGGGAAACCCUGAUGGAGCGACGCCGCGUGGAGGAUGACGGUCUUCGGAUUGUAAACUCCUGUCAUGAAAGAACAAGCGGAGCGGGUGAACAGCCCGCCGAGUUGAUAGUAUUUCAAGAGGAAGGGACGGCUAACUUCGUGCCAGCCGCCGCGGUAA